UUUCCUCUAGCUUAGUUGGUAGAGCACAAGGCUUUGAACCUUGGGGGACUUGUUCGAGGCAAGUGAGGAAAA
rnacentral:tRNA from 1 species